GGAUAGCCCUGGGAAACUGGGAUUAAUACCGCAUAGUAUCGAAAGAUUAAAGCAGCAAUGCGCUUGGGGAUGGGCUCGCGGCCUAUUAGUUAGUUGGUGAGGUAACGGCUCACCAAGGCGAUGACGGGUAGCCGGUCUGAGAGGAUGUCCGGCCACACUGGAACUGAGACACGGUCCAGACACCUACGGGUGGCAGCAGUCGAGAAUCAUUCACAAUGGGGGAAACCCUGAUGGUGCGACGCCGCGUGGGGGAAUGAAGGUCUUCGGAUUGUAAACCCCUGUCAUGUGGGAGCAAAUUAAAAAGAUAGUACCACAAGAGGAAGAGACGGCUAACUCUGUGCCAGCAGCCGCGGUAAUACAGAGGUCUCAAGCGUUGUUCGGAAUCACUGGGCGUAAAGCGUGCGUAGGCUGUUUCGUAAGUCGUGUGUGAAAGGCGCGGGCUCAACCCGCGGACGGCACAUGAUACUGCGAGACUAGAGUAAUGGAGGGGGAACCGGAAUUCUCGGUGUAGCAGUGAAAUGCGUAGAUAUCGAGAGGAACACUCGUGGCGAAGGCGGGUUCCUGGACAUUAACUGACGCUGAGGCACGAAGGCCAGGGGAGCGAAAGGGAUUAGAUACCCCUGUAGUCCUGGCAGUAAACGGUGCACGCUUGGUGUGCGGGGAAUCGACCCCCUGCGUGCCGGAGCUAACGCGUUAAGCGUGCCGCCUGGGGAGUACGGUCGCAAGAUUAAAACUCAAAGAAAUUGACGGGGACCCGCACAAGCGGUGGAGUAUGUGGCUUAAUUCGAUGCAACGCGAAGAACCUUACCUGGGCUUGACAUGUAAUGAACAACAUGUGAAAGCAUGCGACUCUUCGGAGGCGUUACACAGGUGCUGCAUGGCCGUCGUCAGCUCGUGUCGUGAGAUGUUUGGUUAAGUCCAGCAACGAGCGCAACCCCUGUUGCCAGUUACCAGCACGUGAAGGUGGGGACUCUGGCGAGACUGCCCAGAUCAACUGGGAGGAAGGUGGGGACGACGUCAGGUCAGUAUGGCCCUUAUGCCCAGGGCUGCACACGUACUACAAUGCCCAGUACAGAGGGGGCCGAAGCCGCGAGGCGGAGGAAAUCCUGAAAACUGGGCCCAGUUCGGACUGUAGGCUGCAACCCGCCUACACGAAGCCGGAAUCGCUAGUAAUGGCGCAUCAGCUACGGCGCCGUGAAUACGUUCCCGGGUCUUGUACACACCGCCCGUCACAUCAUGGAAGCCGGUCGCACCCGAAGUAUCUGAAGCCAACCGCAAGGAGGCAGGGUCCUAAGGUGAGACUGGUAACUGGGAUGAAGUCGUAACAAGGUAGCCGUAGGGGAACCUGCGGCUG
rnacentral:rRNA from 1 species